UAAAUAUGAAGAAUGAAGAUGCUGACGAAGAAAAUUGAUUAUUGCAAGAUCAACUCGUGACAAUACAAUUCUCAGAGUCGUAUGUGCUAUGUUUGCAGGUUUAUUGAUACAAAUGUAAAUUGUACAAUAAUAUAUUUUUAUCGAAGAUUAUCACUGACAAUACGAUGCAACGUGUAUGUUGUUUUAAUUUUGGAAGCAUGUAAGUUACUUAUAAUAUCCACGUGUAAAUGAAUGACAUUGUUUCUUUUGAUUGUAGAUGUAUAAUACUUCUAUCUUUAUUUAAGAUUUCUUUAUUUCA